rnacentral:lncRNA from 1 species
CGAAAAGCAAAGGGAUAUACUACUUUCAUUUUUAGGAAAAAACACACAAAUGGAUUAACAUUUUCUUAACCACUUAGCUAGACUCAAGUAAUGAAGCAUCAAAAAGCAAACCCAUCAGUUAGGUUUUGUAUGUGAAACAGAAAAAAUACUUAGUUUAACUUGUUAUCUAUAGAAGCAUAACACACCUAAUUCCUGGCGAUAGCCGUGGUGGAAUCAGAUGGAGAAUAAACCAUUUUCCUGGAAACAAUUCUACUUUCGUGUCCUUUGUUAAUAUUCUUACGAUGAAAUGUAUUCAGAAAUAUCAUUUCAUUUUCUGAAAGUAAAAACUUAGUCAAAAAACAGAGCCAAAUGAGACACAGUGAUGGUGAACCAUUAAUCUCUUCCAAACGGGCUCUUUAAACUCUAAUAAUAAAAAGUAUCACCUGGCUUCGCAUUUCCCCUUUGCAUAUGCAUACAUUUUGAAUGCUUUUCAGUUAUCUUGUCUAUUGUUGUUUACGUGCAUUUUAAAAUCUAUGGUGAAUAUGUGUUCUCUCUGAGACUUGUUUAUGGAAUCCUCAAGAAAAGAGUGGAAGAAGCUGUUUAUUGAAAUCUCUUGUCUCACACUUGGCACCAGGACAUGCCAGGUUUAAAACAAUGUUUGCCUGAAGGUAUCCUUUUCUGAUCCAGCAUAGUUACUUACAUGUUGCCUGCUAGGUAUACUUCUCAACUGUUUUAACAUUAAUGUGUUGAUAAUAUUAAUAAUAAUAGAAGAAUUUGCAAUAAAAAAGUAGCAGCAUUUAAAUUAUUUUUGUCAUUCAGGAAUGUUUACCUCUAGAAGCUACUGGGUUUUAGA